AAGUACAGAUGUGAAAGACCCGGGGCCGUCAACCUACCGGAAGUUAGUCAUUUGUAAACUAGGCGAAACUAAGAGUACUGUAGAGGGGGUAGGAAUUUCUAGGUGUAGCGGUGAAAUAGCGUAGAGAUCUGAAGGAAUACCGGUGGCGAAGGACGGCCCCCUCGGACAGAUACUGACACUCAGAUGCGAAAGACGUGGGGAGGGCAAACAGGAUUAGAUACCCUGGUAG
rnacentral:rRNA from 1 species